GACGAACGCUGGCGGCGUGCUUAACACAUGCAAGUCGAGCGCCCCGCAAGGGGAGCGGCAGACGGGUGAGUAACGCGUGGGAAUCUACCCAUCCCUCCGGAAUAGCUCCGGGAAACUGGAAGUAAUACCGUAUACGACGCACGGGGGAAAGAUUUAUCGGGGACGGAUGAGCACGCGUUGGAUUAGCUAGUUGGUGGGGUAAAGGCCUACCAAUGCGACGAUCCAUAGCGGGUCUGAGAGGAUGAUCAGCCACAUUGGGACGGAGACACGGCCCAAACUCCUACGGGAGGCAGCAGUGGGGAACAUUGGACAAUGGGGGCAACCCUGAUCCAGCCAUGCCGCGUGAGUGAUGAAGGCCUUAGGGUUGUAAAGCUCUUUCACCGGGGAAGAUAAUGACGGUACCCGGGGAAGAAGCCCCGGCUAACUUCGUGCCAGCAGCCGCCGUAACAC
rnacentral:rRNA from 1 species